CGAACGCUGGCGGCGUGCUUAACACAUGCAAGUCGACCGGAAAGGCCCUGCUUUUGUGGGGUGCUCGAGUGGCGAACGGGUGAGUAACACGUGAGUAGCCUGCCCUUGACUUUGGGAUAACUUCAGGAAACUGGGGCUAAUACCGGAUAGGAGCUCCUGCUGCAUGGUGGGGGUUGGAAAGUUUCGGCGGUUGGGGAUGGACUCGCGGCUUAUCAGCUUGUUGGUGGGGUAGUGGCUUACCAAGGCUUUGACGGGUAGCCGGCCUGAGAGGGUGACCGGCCACAUUGGGACUGAGAUACGGCCCAGACUCCUACGGGAGGCAGCAGUGGGGAAUAUUGCACAAUGGGCGGAAGCCUGAUGCAGCAACGCCGCGUGCGGGAUGACGGCCUUCGGGUUGUAAACCGCUUUCGCCUGUGACGAAGCGUGAGUGACGGUAAUGGGUAAAGAAGCACCGGCUAACUACGUG
rnacentral:rRNA from 1 species